CGGAGCGCGAUUCAUGAUGAUCGGUUGUUUUGGGAUCAGAGGGUCGAAGGUUCGAAUCCUUUCGCUCCGACCA
rnacentral:tRNA from 2 species